rnacentral:rRNA from 1 species
ACAGCAGUCGCCGCGGGAAUACGAAGGGUACAAGCGUUACUCGGAAUUACUGGGCGUAAAGCGUGCGUAGGUGGUGGUUUAAGUCCGUUGUGAAAGCCCUGGGCUCAACCUGGGAAUUGCAGUGGAUACUGGGUCACUAGAGUGUGGUAGAGGAUAGUGGAAUUUCCGGUGUAGCAGUGAAAUGCGUAGAGAUCGGAAGGGACAUCUGUGGCGAAGGCGACUAUCUGGGCCAACACUGACACUGAGGCACGAAAGCGUGGGGAGCAAACAGGAUUAGAUACCCCCGUAGUCCCUGUCUCUUAUAC